UGCCAUCCAGGGAGCACUGUAAACCCGAUUAGUCCAAUGAGCUCAAAAGUUUUAUAAUCACUGAACUCAAAAGUAACAAACAAGUUGAGUCAGCUUAAAACCUAAAAGCCGAUUCAACUUUUGCCACAGUUAUAUCUUUAUUGGACUAAAACAUUUUGAGUAAAUGAAACCUUGGAGUCAAAACUUAUGAGUAAUGAGACGUGAUGACGUCAUAACGUACGCCCAUGAACGUGAACUCAGCCACAGAAGUCUUCAAGAUGGCGGAGGUCUGAUGCGAGUGUCAGCUGGCCCAAGUUGAUAACGCACAUACGUCUAGAUGUGAGCUGAGUUUCAUUGCAUCACAAAUGUCAACCUGCGAAAACAGUUUUAUUUUGACCUGGACAGACAGACGCAGAGGAUGCUGAUCUUUUUGAGACAGAAGGCAGCACGAACCGGAAGGCUCUAUGCGACAUUCUGCACCUCUAUGAUAAACAGCAAGAGCAGACUGCUGAUGUCAAAGGUAUUCCUGGCCUGUACUGGCUUCCCAUUUACAAACGUGAGGAGAACCCACAGUUCUUCAAAGUUUGGAAUAUUAAAGAGUCACCAGAGGCAGACAUCAGCAGCUCCUCUGUUGGCAUUCUGACCGUCAGCAACAACAAUACAAGUUCAGUGCAUUUCUGUCCGCUCAGUACAGCAGUUGUGGUGGAAGAUGAGCUUGUGGUAGGCGACAUUCCUAAAUGGGUAUUUUUUUGAGCGCUAAUGUUUGUAGGGAAAGGGCAGCCUAAGAAAAGACAGUUUUAUGUGGGAAAAGUGUAAAAAAAAAAAGGCUGAUACAUAAUUUUUGCUUUUCUUGAAAUGUAAGAAUGCUCUUUUUUAUAAAGUUGUAUAAGGAAAUGGUGGAAAAAUUAUUAGUGCUCAUUUUUUGCUUUUCUUGAAGACUGAUUUUUUUUAUUUAUGGCUUGUGCACUUUUUCUUAACACAAAUUGUACAGUGUUUUACAUUUUCUAGUACAACAAGUUGUUCAAAUGUACUUGUGUAAGGUGGUUUAAAAAUAAACUUGCAAUUA